rnacentral:lncRNA from 1 species
UGCCUUUUUCUUUUCAUCAACCUUGGUGACUAUCAGUGUCAAAGAAAGCUUAAUUCUUCGUUCUGUUUUUAUUUGUCUCUUUAAAGGUUUGUAAAUUUUUUUUCUAUCGACCUUAUUCAACCAUGUAAAUGGAAAAUUUAUGUUAAAAUUCUUCCAUGCAUAGUAGGUACAAAGUGGUUGAGAUAGUUCACAAAAAUGUUAUGGAUGGCUUCUUGUGAUUUAAUAUUGGAGUCCAUAAUAUCUCUACACUCCAGAUCGCGUAGAACUAACUAGAUUGCUCAUUAUUUUCCCGAGCUUGUUGUUUUUGAAACGCUGGACGAUGCUGACAUUUGUGUUGCGUUCGCAGGUUAUGAAAUGGAUGAACAGGCUCCUGAUUCUAAUUACUUGCGGCUGCAGUUUUAUCAGUUCCCGGAUCCCAGGUCAAGACCUGGCCGUAACAAGGGGUGAUAGGCAUUAGGUGAUGAGAAACAUCCGUGUUGAUGUAAUCAAGAUUGCAUUUGCUCUUAUACAUUAUAUAUAUUGCUCAGGCUUGGGCACACACUAAUUGUAAGCACUUCUGAUGCACAUUGUUGUUCUAGGUAGUGAAAUCAGAAACAGUUUUAUAGUUGUGUUGAACGAUCUGAUUUUGCACGUCCAUGGUCUACAAUUUACUCAAGGAAUGUUUUAAUUCUGAAUUGAGAUUGUACUGUGCAUAGACUACCGCAAAAUUAGUACAGAGAUAGUUUCCCUAUAGAUUGUUUUCAUAUACUAGAGGACUUCCAUGGCCAGGGUAUCUUGCCACCAUAUUGUCCCCGUACAUUUUCCCUCCAUAUUAGUUAUAUAUUUAUCUGGACAUUCUAACCUAAUGAAGUCCUACAAUCAUCAUAACUCAUUUUACUUAGCUCAUGCUCCUUACAAUAUUUGAUGAACUCACAUAAGAAACUCAUAGAAAUUUGUUCCCAGUCAUUACCUUUGGACUGCAGUUGAAGCUUAUGAUACAUCCUCCCAAUGCUAAGCACUAGCUAGUGGGUUGUCGACUAAUCUAUGCCACCGUACACAUCGCAGGGGCUUUGAACUCUGUCUCAAUUAUUGUAAAGACGUUAGCCUCUUCAAUGAAAGAACCCAUAGUCCUAUGCUGCUAGAGCUCCCCCCACCCUUCUUGGAAUUAAUAUAGUGUUAGGACAUAUCGCUCUAUUUCUCACAUCACGUGACUAAUGAUUUCUUUGAAGUUACUUCUUUAGGAAACACUUAUACUACAAGUGCUUUUAUUAUAUAGAAUCUUUAUAAGCAAUCCAAGUGUUCAUUGAAAACGUAUUUGAAAGUGCUUCUUGAAAAAGCAUUUGGCAAGUGCUUCUUGAAAAAGCAUUUGGCAAGUGCUUCUAUAAAAGAGCUUAUUGGGUCAAAAGAAUUUCUAAGUUUUUUUUUCUGCCAAGCACAACAGAAUACACAUUUUAGCUUUUUCCAGAACCAAUCCCAGACAAGUUCUAAGCAAAGAAAGGGCGAUACAGCCUGAAGACAACGGAGAAUUUCCCUGACGUUAAAGGUUUUGUUUGUUCGGUCACUAAACCCAAAAAAAUAGAAAACUUGAAGUGGGCAAUGAAUUGGUUUUCGAUUUCCAUUAAAUUGGCACAACAUUCGGCAUUGUUAUGCAAAAAUAUACUUUUUUCUUAUCAUUAGUUUUACACACACUCUAGUCUGUGGUAUAAAAUGAGCUAGGGUUUGGUUGGAGAACAAGUCUACGUGGUAUCAUCACUUACAUUACAUGCCAUGUGGGCUGGAGGGUUUCAUUUGGUGCCAUUACUCCUUUUUCUGUUCUAUAAUCAUUUUGGAACUGGAAGAGAAAGUGGAGGGGAAAAGGUAGUUUAGGGCAAAAAUUUUCCAAUCAAUUUUUUGGCAGUGUGACUGUUUUCGAAAUAUAGAGUAGUUGUGGCAAAAAAGAAAAAGGAAAGGGGUAAUUGUACAUACACAUUGUUCCAAAGGGUCAGUUGUCCCACAACUUGUCAAGGGACCAGAGCAUUAAGUUGUAGCUGCAAGUGCAAGGAGAAAGUUGUGGAUUAGAUAGACCAAUGGAUUUGGUUUGGUUUAAUUCCAAGUCAUCGUCGUUUCUUCUUCUAUGUGGCCCAGCCGCCCAGGACUUUAGUCCUUAUUUGGCAGGUACUUAUUACAAGGUUAGAUAAAGGGAGAUGAUACAUGGAGAACGGUUUGCCAAGUUUGUUAGAGUGGAUCCGGAUCCAUGAGUGUUGGAUCUCUAGUAAUUGAAUCUUUAGUUAAAGAUUCAAUGUCUCAACGAUCUAUGCUAUACAUUUGUCUUUACGAAUUUUCAUUCAUUGUGUAUUACAUAAUAUUCUUGACCCUCUUAUAUGUGACUUCGGCCGACUUCUAUCACCCGAUAUCGUUGUGUAAUAACUUGAUGAGAUAGCCAAUGCUUAGGUCAUCUUCAAUGGAGAUGGCUAAAGGUCAAAAAGCUAAAAAAUAGUAUGAUUUGUUCAAAAACUCAUCUCCAACCAAUGUCAGAGCUAUAAUUAUAUGGAGCCCACCAUGCCAUUAUUUGGCUAGUGCCCCUUUCUUAGCCCCUUUUUGGGGCCUAGCUCCUCGAUUAUGCCAUCUGCAAUGAAGAGGGCUAAAUGUCUAAAAGCCAAAAAAUGACAUGAUUUACCCAAAAACUCAUCUCCAACCAAUAGCUAGGUUAUAAUUCUAUGGAUUCAACAGUUAGAUUUGGAAACAUCCAAUGUUAGUUUAAUUAAAUUAAAGUAUAAACUUAAAACUAAUAAAUUAUUAGGGAGCCUAUGUUUUAGCCCUUUCGGUUGGAGAUGGUAUAUGAGUAUGGCCGACACUAUUCAUUUAAAAAUAAUUUUUUUGUUGGGUUAUAAUUUUGGAUGAGGCUAUGUCUAGCCCUUUUGGUUGGAGAUGACCUUACAAUGAUUAAUUCAAAUUCAAUGGUUAAAUUUGAAAAUAUCCAACAAAACAUCCAACAGUAGUUUAAUUAAAUUAAUCAAUAAUUUUAAGUAUAAACUCAGAACUAAUAAAUUAUUGAGGGAGUUAUGUUUAGCCUUUUCGGUUGGAAAUGAUAUAUGAGUAUGGCCUAAUACUGUUUAUUAAAAAAAAAAUCUUUAGUUAUCUCUGCUAAUCAAUAAAACACUCAUUGUCAACCAAAAUCCUAUGAAAUUACCAGUUUAACCUUCUAAUUAAAACAAAACAUGAAUAAGAAAUAUGGGGCGGAAAUUUAAUUUUACACAAACAAAAUUUGUUGUUUUUUUUUUUCAAAACUUCAUCUAUAUAUAAUUCUAACAUAUCUCUAAUUAUAAAAUAAAUAAAAAAUAAAAAUAAAAACUUCCUACUCCCACAUUCUCUAUCACUCCCUUCCUCUCUUCUUUUAUUUUAAAACAAAAAAAAAAAUUUCACAUACUUUAUAUAUGCCCAUAUGCUAGUAAUUAUAAACGAAACUAUAUUUAACUAUUUCGUUGAAAAUGACCGUACGAGUAUGUAAAUUUUGAAAUGUGAGUUGUCGUUCACUACGCAAGCAAAGAUCGAAAGCCUUCAUGUACCGAGGGGUCCCACUCCUUGAAUCAGAAUAAAAGUGCUUUGAAAAAGUCCCUUUAAUUAUGUCCAAGUUUGGAUAAAAUUUGUCCAUGCAUGGCAUGCACUCACUGACUGAUCUCGUCGUCCUGAAGGGUAAGAGAGGUAAAUUCCAGAAUAACCCACGAGGCACUGUAUGAAGCCUGUCAAUUACAUCAACUCAUCAAGCUUUCAAUCUUUUCAUGGCAUGCCUAACUUCUGUGAAAUAUGCUCAACAUUUAACAUUUUGUAAACCAAAAAGAGAGUAAGAGAGAGAUGAUUGAAGUAAUAAAGUAAAAGCGAAAUGCAUGCAUUGAUAAAAGGAAAUUUUAACAAAAAAAAUUUCGGUACUGUUUACUUUAACAAAAAAUUAUAUUUUUACAUUAAAAAGUCAAUUCUAAUACUAUUCAUUUUACCCUUUAUUUGUUCUUUAUUGUUAAAAAUCAAAUUUUUCAAUCCAUUUUUAUUAGUUUUCCUUUGAUAAAAGGAGAAAGAUGCAUGGAGAACUGGUUUUUUAUUUUAUUAUUAUUUUUUUUACAAACAAUAAUAUUAGAGUGGAUUAAGUUAUUAGCUGUUAGCGAGAAGAGGAUCAAUAAUAAUCAAACUAGCACCCGGAUGUAUAAGCAUAAUUGUUUUCUAAAAUUGCAAUAAAACGUCACUUUCCAUAUAUAUAUAUAUAAAAAAAAAAAACUUAUUGUUCCUUGUAUGAUGGAUUGCAAUCUCAAUAUCGUUCUUAAUGGAACGGCCACAAUUAGUUGUUCAGGACAUAAACAAUAUGUAUUGUCUUUAUAUUUAGGAAAUUGGCUCUGUUAGCCUUAUUACAAACCCAACAAUUAAAAAUACUCCCAAAUUAUAAUCUCUAUUAGCCCUCUUUUCCUUAAAUACCACUAACUUGAAAGAUGAACUGUUAUUCUAUGUCUCGACGUUGGAUCUCGAUGGCAUCCAAAAGGGCCUCUCAACUCCCUUCCGACUGUAUCUCGACUGAAUCACGACGGCAUCUCAACGGCACAGAACUGAAUUACCCUUAUAUUUAUGAGUUGAUCAGACACUCCAAUUAAAUAAAAAUAACUAUAAUUAUGUCAAAAUUAUUUAGUCAGUCUCACGUAUAUAUAAUUAAUUCAUCAAACACAUAAACAAAAAAGUUCUUGUAUGUAUGCUAUACUUUGAUUUGUCUCAACAAGAAAUGACUCAGUCAUCUUUUUAUCUAUGUCCAUUGAGUUUAUGGAGGGCAACAUAUUGAGAUCUCAAAAAUCUUAUUCUCAUACAACACACUUUUUUUUUUGAACAAACGAUAUUAUCUACACUAAGGGAAAAUGGGUGGCCUAAACCUCACAAUGGGCUAGCAAUAAUGUGGUUCAAAUUCACAUUUGGCGAGAAUCAAACCUAAGACCUCUCACUGACAAGUGAAGAAGAAUAUCACUAGACCGUAGUCCUAAAAAAAAUAUAGAUCUUAUAGUCUUGCAGUGUUUUAGAUUAGCUAAAACGUUGGUAUCCAUAUUAACUUACCAAAAAAAAUAUGUUGAAUUUGCUACACCUGGAAUUUGUAGCAGAUUUGUCAUUUUAUAAAGGGGUUUUUAACUCAUUUAAAAAAAAAGAAGGGGUUUUUAACUUUAAUUCUUAAAAAAAAUUGAAAUUUAAUAAAAAUCGGAUGUUAGAUUACAUAUUAAUUAUUGUCCUUUAAUGUGUUAUUAACUCAAAUUAAUUAAUGUGUAUUUUAUUCAAUAUCUCACAUUAAAUAUUUGAAUUUAUGAAAAUGAAAAUUAUAAUAAAAUAUAAUUAAUAUAUCAAAAUUAGAAAGAAAAAGAGAAAUAAUUAAAACAUCAAAAUAUAAUUAAUAAAUGAAGUAAUUAACAUAUCAAGAGACUAAAAUUAGAUUUUAAUUUUACUCAUGUUUUUAAUUUAAAGUUAUUUUUAUCAAAAAUUAAAAUGAAGUUUCCUAUUUUGUAAAUUACAACGAUGAAAAAUGACGCGUUGCACGUAAGAAACAACAUCUAUAUUUUCUCUUUUGUUUAAUAUGCCAUCAAACAUAUCCAUCACAUUUUAAAUUUUGUGGAAGUCCCUCUCUCACAUUGAUAAAGUCUGGUUUGUGUUGGACAGCUGUCCAACAGACAACCCAAAAAUCUUCCAAAAACCAACAAACAUUUCUGACCAGUCAUGCAUACGUAUGCAUGGACCCAAUGGCAUAUAAUCAAAAAUUUUAAAUAAUGGGAUCGUAAUGUCAACUUAAAAAAAAGUUUCAUUAAGCUAUUUCAUCGAACAUUUAGUAAGCAAUUGUCAAUUCUUGUCAACAAUGCCAAAAGUUUAUGUUAAAAUAUAUCAACUACGAUAAUUUGUAGAGGCUUGUCGAGAGUGAUGUAGGAUACUACGAAGUAAUAUUGAGAACUCUUAAAGCUUUUCAACUAAAGUAUUUUAUAUAAAAAGAGAGAAAAGAAAAACAAAUAUGAUAGAAGAAAAUAGAAGAAGUAAGAAGAUGAGGUUGUAAGUUAGUUUGCUUUAGCUAUUUAUAAUGGUCAAAUAAAAUAUACAAACAAAUAUACAUGAGAUUUUUAAAGUUGUUGAGAUCAAGGAUAAUCAAUGAUCCCAUUCUAGUUUUGCCAUUGCAUGGGCCGGAUAGGGAUAUGGCUAAAAUAUAAUUCUAUUAAUUGCGUUUUGGGACUUUGUCUAACAACUUGGCUCUCUCUUGACUUGGAUGCCAUGGAUGGCUCAUGCAGUUUACUAAAACUAGUAAUGUACAAUUUUCAGAGACUAUUAAUUAUCAUCUAUCAGGAAAAUUUGAUUUCCAUGCUUGCCCUUUCACGUCGGUGACUUGGAGAUAAUAUUGUUUCUUGUCCGGAGAUGAAAUAAAAUAAAAAGACUUGCACGAUCAUACUGCAUUAUAUAUAUUACACUAUAUAGUCUAUGUUGGGAGUUAUAUAUUAGUUAAAGUAUAAAUAGUAGUCUGUUAUCCUAUAUUGAUGAAGUGCAUAUGUAAUACAAAUUGUAAUUCCUAUAUAUACUCCAUUUUGGAGAUUAAUGAAUAUAUGAGAAAUUCUCAAAUAUUAUCAUAUAUAUUUUUGGUAUUUACCAUGUUUAGUUUAAUAUAGCAUCAAAGCAGUUCGCUCUUGGUGACCUGUGUGCUUUAAUUUUGUGCCCCACAUUUGUCAUGAUUUCCUUCGUCUUGAAAAAAAAAAAGGAAAGUAAAUAGUGUUGCACUACAGUACAAACAGUGCGUAAACAGUGGUAUGCUACAGUGUUCAUGAACAAUAUUUUGCUACAGUGCCAUUAACAGUGAUCUACUACAUCACUUGAACAGUGAUGUGCUACAGUAUUAUGGUAAAUUGUUUUCAUUCCGCUGCCUAUCUUUUGUGCCUUUAUUGUUUGUGAUUUAAUUCAAUGGCUCAGUAUAAUCAUAAUGUUGUUAUGCAUCUUGGUGGAACAAAUAAAUGGAUAAUUGAUACUGGGACCACUAAUCAUGUGACUAGUGACCCUAGAAUGUUUGAUGAGUUAUGUGACUAUAUUCUUGAUCCGUAUAUUACUAGUGCAAAUGGAGCACAUUCCCCCGUGAAUGUUGAAGGCAUUAUCUCUCUUACUUCGACCUUAUCACUGGUCCAUACUUUACUUGUUCCUGAUGUUAAGUGCAAUCUUUUGUCGGUAGAAAAACUACUUGAUACUUUAUAUUGUUUUGCUCACUUCUACCCUACGUAUUGUUAUUUUCAAGACAUUCAAACUCAGAAAGUAAUUGGUCAUGGUAAAAGAAUAGAGGGUUGUACAUCUUGACUAUGGAGGAUACUGUUGUUUCCGGUUCAAAUAAUCAUCAAGUUUUAAGUGCUAAAGUGGAUGACAUACAUCAAAUUUGGUUGUGGCAUUGGCGAUUAGGACGUCUAUCAUUCAGUUAUAUGAAGCAUCUAUUUCCUGCUUUGUUUCGCAUUUGUAGUGAUUCAUAAUUCAAGUGUGAAGCAUGUGUCAUGGCUAAGAGUCAUCGUGCUUCCUUUCCCAUAAGUGAUUCUAAAGCUACUUUGCCAUUUGAUUUAAUACAUUCUGAUGUGUGAGGUCCGGCAAAUGUUACUUCUAAUGAAUUUCGUUGGUUUGUUACUUUUAUUGAUGAUUGUACUCGAUUAACUUAGGUGUUAUUGAUGAAGAAUAAGAGUGAUGUUCAUUUGCUUCUUCAAGAAUUUUGUGCAAUGGUGUAUACUCAGUUUCAGACCAAAGUUAAGGUUUUCAGGUUUGAUAAUAGAGGAGAAUAUGUGAAUCACACUUUGACAUGCUUUUUUCGUGAUCAGGGUAUUAUUCACCAGACGACUACUUUGUUUACACCCCAACAAAAUGGUGUGUCAGAACAGAAGAAUCGUCAAAUAAUGGAGGUUGCUCACUCAUUGAUGUUGGAUAAAUGUGUUCCUAAUCAUUUAUGGGGUCAUGUUGUUUUGGCUGUUGUAUAUUUGAUAAAUCGUGUUCUAAGUAGGGUUCUUGAUUUUCAGACACCACUUGAUGUGUUACAAAAGCAUGUUUAUCUUGUUUCUGUAUCAAAACUUCCUCCGAAGGUGUUUGGGUGUAUUGCGUAUGUGUAUGUCUACUCUUAUCAGCGGAGUAAACUUGAUGCAUGUGUUCUUCGAUGUGUAUUUAGUAGGUAUGCUAACAAUCAGAAAGGCUAUAAGUGUUAUCAUCCUCCGACUCAUAAAACUUAUAUUACCAUGGAUGUCACUUUCCACGAGGAAGUUUCGUAUUUUGUGAAGCCAUCUUCCGACUCUCCACUUCAGGGGAAAAAAGGGAGUGAAGUGCAUAUUUGAAGAGAUGGUAUGGAUGAUGUGUUACAGGCAGAGUUGGGGAUAGAACCUAUUAUGUUGCGUGAUACUGAUCAGUCGGUUAUAGAUAGUGAUCUGUCACCUAUUAUUCCUAAAACUAUUUUUACUGACGACAGAUUAGAUGUGCCCAACGAGUUGCUUGUCAGUAUGUCUGACGAAUUACUUUCUGAUGACCGAUUGCUUGCUUCUGGUAUGUCUAACGAGCUGCCUGAUGAUGGUUAGUUCAGUGAUGGUUCAUCCAGUGAUGAUUCUUUUAACAAUUUGGUACAAGAUAAUGACAUACAUGAGUUAAAUUCUGACGAUUCUUCUAUUUAUUAGUUGCCUCCACGAGCUAAUCGUGGAAAACCUAAGGUACAAUAUGAGCCUGAUAUGCAUGCCAAAUCCAAAUAUCCUAUCAACAAUUAUGUGUUUACUCAUCGUUUGUCCAAACCAUUUUCAUCUUACAUAUGUCAGCUAUCUAGUGUAUCAAUUCCAACAAAAUUGCACGAUGCCUUGUCUGACCCUAAGUGGGUUAAUGCCAUGAGAGUUGAGAUGGAAGCCUUGGAAAAGAAUUCUACUUGGGAUUUGGUUCAUUUACCAAAUGGGAAGAAAGCUGUUGGAUGUAGAUAGGUGUUCACUAUUAAGCACAAAGCAGAUGGUUCUAUUGACCGGUAUAAAGCCAUAUUAGUUGCUAAGGAUUAUACUCAAACCUAUAGGGUGGACUAUCAGGAGAUUUUUGUUCUUGUUGCCAAACUUAAUACUGUGUGUGUUCUUCUGUCCUUAGUAGCAAACCAGGAUUGGCCUCUGUUGCAGUUUGAUGUUAAGAAUGAUUUCCUUCAUGGUGAUCUCAAGGAGGAAAUUUAUAUGGAUCUCCCACUUAGUAUUAGAACAUCUCCUGAAAAAUGUGUUGUAUGCAAGUUGCAAAAAGCUUUGUAUAGUUUGAAACAAUCUCUUAGAGUGUGGUUUUGGAGGUUUACAAGUUCAAUGAAGAAGUUUGGGUAUGUCCAGAGUCAUUCAAAUCAUACUUUGUUUCUAAAUUGUUUCUAAAGCCACAAAAUGGUAAGCUAACUGCAUUGAUUAUUUAUGUUGAUGACAUGUUAGUGACUAGUGAUGAUCAAAAGGAGAUACAACGCCUUAAAAAAGUACCUAGCUAGUGAAUUUGAGAUGAAAGAAUUGGGUGAAUUGAAGUAUUUUCUUGGAAUCGAGGUUGCACAAUCCAAGCAUGGUAUUUUUCUGUCUCAACAGAAGUAUGUUCUUGAUUUGUUAGUUGAAACAAAUCUGUUAGAUUGCAAACUUAUUGAUACUCUGAUUGAGCAAAAUCAUCAUCUGGGCUUAUUUCCGAAUCAAGUUCCUACUCAUAAGGAACGGUAUCAGAGGCUUGUGGGGAAAUUAAUUUAUUUGUCUCACACUUGCCCUGACAUUGCUUAUGCAGUUAGUGUAGUAAGUCAGUUUAUGCACUCACCUAGUGAAGCUCAUAUGGAUGAAAUAGUCCGUAUUUUGAGGUGCUUGAAGAUGGCUCCUGGCAGAGGCUUGGUUUUCUCCAAGAAUGGUCAUUUGAAUGUCGAAGGGUAUACAGAUGCAGAUUGGACAAGUUCUAUCACUGAUUGGCGGGUGGUAAUCUAGUUACUUGGAGAAGUAGAAACAAAAAAUGGUGGCUAGGUCAAGUGCUGAAGCUGAGUUUCGUGGUAUGUCUCAUGGUGUAUGUGAGUUGUUGUGGUUAAAAAAAUUGUUGAGAGAUCUUGGAUUUAAACCCAAUGGUGCUAUGAAACUCCAUUGUGAUAACAAGGCUGCUAUUGAGAUUGCUCAUAAUCCAGUGCAACAUAAUCAAACAAAACAUGUGGAGAUUGAUCAACAUUUCAUCAAGGAAAAUUUGGAUGCUGGAAUUAUUAUGUUUCCGUUUGUGAGAUCUGAAGAUCAACUCGCUGAUGUACUUACUAAGACUGUGUCUAAUAGUGUGUUUUCCAACUCGCUUGACAAGUUGGGCAUGCAUGACAUCUUUGCUCCAACUUGAGGGGGAAUUUUACGAGUUAUAUAUAGUUAAAGUGUAAAUAGUAGUCUGUUGUCCUACAUUGAUGAAGUACAUAUGUAAUACUAAUUGUAACUCCUAUAUAUACUCCACUUUGGAGAUUAAUAAAUAUAUAAGAAAUUCCCAAAUAUUGUCAUAUAAAUUUUUGGUAUUUAUCAUGUUUAGUUUAAUAGUCUAAACAUCAGGAAAUACACCAACCCUAAACCUAAUGGAUUUUAUGAAGCCGCUGGUUUGGGUACACAUUAAUCUAACCUAAUUGCUCUACCACAUUCUAAACACAAAAUUUGUUAUAAAUAGGAUGAUUAAAUUUAUUUUCUCAAGCGGUAGAGUAGUGAACCUCACAGCGACGACAAUCUUCCACCCCCAAAUUCGGGUUUUUUUGUACUAAAAUGGUCUUUUAUGUAUAAGAACUUUACGAUAAGUUUAUUAAAAUUGGCUCUGUAUCUACGAAAUCUCAACAUCCAUACGUUACAAAAUGGAUUAGAACUCCUAGGAAAUAAAAUAGAACAUAUGAUGAUCCCUUUAAAGGGCCUUAUAAUGGGGAAGACUUCUCACAGAAUAUAAGAAGACGAAGAGGAAAACUAAAAACUUAGAACUUCAAGGAGAUGGACUGGAGCAGGGAGAAUGGCAAAGAACCGGAACCCAGAAGACCCGCAACGAAAAAGAAAACACUGUACUUUUUUUAGACAUUUUUUCACAUUUCUUCUCGGCCUUACAGCCAAGUAGCAUUUUCCGACCCCAAAUAAAGAUAGAAGGAAAAAACCAAAUUAAGGUAAAUAAAUUUUCUAUAGCAACUUGGCAAACAAAAACAUACUAGAAGAAAACAAGGAAAAUACAAAGAAAUUAAGGAAGUAUGGGAAACAAAAUAAAUUUAAUACGGGACCAACGACAACGGUGCAAAUGUAUAUUGUUCAGGAAAUAAACUUUUAGCGAAAAUGUGCUGCAAAAUUGACCAAUUUUGCUUCAUAUUCACACUCAAUUUUUUUAAGAAUUAAUAUCUGUAGAGUUUAGACCAAAAAUAAAAUAAAAAACAAAACCAAAAUGCUACUCCACUUUCUUGGUACUUAACUCAGCUCUCCACCUCCUUCCAAUCUUACAAGCUUCUAGAUUUAGAUUUGUCUCAAAUCACAUGCCAACUAACCUGCCCAGCUCAAUUUUAUUUUUUCUUUGGAAAUUCCAGUGCGUCUCUACUUUUGUUUUUCUAAAUCUUACUUACUCCCAUUAUAAUUGGAAUUUUAUAUAUUUAUAUGGAUGCUUUGUCAAGAUAUGAGAGAAAUAGUAGUGAUUCAAAAAGAUGAUUAGGAGCCAAAAAUAUUUAUUAUUUUAGAUUGGUGUUUAUGUUUUUGAACAGUUAAAAACUUUUUUGGUCAUUGUGUUUAUGUUUAAAAUUUAUUUUGGUCACUGUAUUUUAUUUUCUGCUAAUUUAGUUACUGUGUUAUCACAAGUUAGCAAUCUUAGUCCUUCUCAAUCAAACGUUAAAAAAAACGCACAUGACAUGCAAGUGCAGGGGUAACUAUGUAAGUGAAAAUAUAUCUUUGCCCCUGCACGAAACUGUCACGUGCAUUUUUUUGGCGGUUGACUUAUGGUAACGCAGUGACCAAUUUGGCAGAAAAUAAAACACAAUGACCAAAAUAAAUUUUAGAAAUACACACAGCGACCAAAAACGUUUUAAUUUAACCCAUUUUUAACAGUCCAGCCAGCUACCAUGAAAGCUACAACAUGAAAGCUGACUGUCAAAAUUUUGUUUAAAAAUUCAUACACAAUAAUCGUCAUAAGAACGUGCAAUAGGUACUUUGAAUUCUUAAAUAUACUGCAUGGUUACCCUUUCCUUUUGUUUUAUACAGAGAAAUCUUGACAGGCAGUCAAAAGCAAAAUUAUGUUCUUCUAGUGAUAUCUGUGUGCUAAAAAGGAAGUACGUAGCUACGUUCAGUCUUCACCUAACACUCCUAUUUGCACCUAAAAGAUGUGGAUAACAAAGAUUUUGACCAAAAUCACAUUGACAAGUACUUGCCAAAGGAUCACGGAACCUAUGAUUGUAAAAGAUAUACGUGUUGGGCCUGACCGACGUUAAUUAGUUGUUCAUAUUGAUUUGAGAAAUUUGAUUGAAUGAGGAUUAACAAAUCACAAUUGCUAAAAUAUUAAAAUGUAUUAACUGCGACAUAUUGGUUAAAUAAUUAUUGCACAUCGAAAAAAUAUUGACGAGUAAUUAUGAAUUUUUAUUUUCAUUAUUUCAAACAUUUUUAUAUUAGAAAAGCUAAAGAAAAUGAUUUAAAAACUUUGAAUUUUAAUGAUACGUACAAAAUGAAAGGUAAAAUAAAUAGUACCAGAAUUAACUUUUUGUUUAAAUUUUAUUUUCUAUUUGGCAUCAACUUUUGGUUUAAAUAUACUAUAUAACCCUCACAAAAGAAAAAGCAUGGUGUACUAGUAGCUAAAAGACAUAAAAAAGGUUAAUCUUAAUUUAUUAUUCUAAAGUUUCUUAGUUUUCAAUAUUUGGUAUAUAAAGUUUUUUUUAUUCUAGAGUUGUACAUAAAGUUAUAAUUUUGGGAUACUUUCAUACAUCCAUUAAGGUUGCUGUUAAAUUUAUCAUUAACUGAUGAUAUGACAUUUAUGUUGACAAUGACACGUAGAUAUUAAAAAUUAAAAAUUAAAUUAAUAAAAUAAUAAAAAUUAAAAAAAAAAAAAAAUUGGGCGUCUUCACCCUCACCCCUUCUGACCCCCCUCCCUUCUCUCCUCUGCACCCACGCUUCCCCCUCCCUCUUCGACUCCACCCAACGCUGCACUCCGAGGAUUGUUGCCAUCCUUUCAAGCCCAAUUUCGCCCCCAAAUAGGCCCGGGCAGUACUUGGCCAUAAACUUCAAGUCGUAGACCCUCUCGAACAAACGACCUGCCAUCUUUGCGAACUCAGUGGGGGAGCUGAGGAUGGUCUUCCUCGUCACCAGCUUCAUUACAUAGGCCGAGUCGUAGAGGCCGUGGAAGCUCACCCAUACGAGCUGCCCCCUGUGCACCCUUAAAAUCUCAACGAAACCCUCCACAAAAAUAUCCGAAUCAAUGCCGAACUUCCCAAAUUUCUCGAGAUCCAAGCCAUUCGCUUUGAGGAGGGCAAUGGAUUCUGGAACAUGGGGGUCGGUUUCCUCGUCAAAACCCCGAAAGUUGAACUCCCAGGUGCCGCCGACGUUGCCGCGGUCGUCGAACAGGGUGAUACCCACUUGGAUGAGAUUGAGAGAAUCGACAUUAAGGGCGAUAUCUUGGUAACGGAGGCCCUUGGAAGUGCCUCUGGGGGUGUUGCGGAGGAACCCCGGAAAUUCGGUGUCGAACGAGACGAUCGGAAAACGGCAGAGACACCGAUCGACGGAGGGAAGGGGAAAGGUGGGUGCAAAGGAGAGAACGGGAGUGGGGUCGGAAGGGGUGAGGAAGAAGAUGCCCAAAUUUUUUUAUUUAUUUAAUUUUUUUAGUUUUUAUUAUUUUAUUUUUUAAUAUGCACGUGUCAUCAUGUCAUUGUCCACGUGGAUAACACAUCAUUAGUUAACAGUAAAUUUAAAGGCAACCUUAAUGAAUGUAUAAAAUUGUUCCAAAAUUAUAACUUUAUGUACCACUCUGAGAUGAAAAAAACUUUAUUUACCAAAUAUUGAAAACAAAAAAACUUUAAGAUAAUAAACUAAUAUUAAUCCUAAAAAACUACUAAAGGAAAGGGUGAAAGAAAAAAUUAUUAGUUUGUGCUGUUCUCAUGGUAAUAGUGGUUUUUGUAUUGUACGAUCAUGUGUUACAUUUUAUGCAUUAUUAUGUGGAUGAAUGAAUAAGUUAAUUACAUCGCAUGUCAUAGGGUGAAUAUUACAUUAAAAAAUUCUUCAUUCUUGUUAUUCGUCAAAUUAAUGGUUGUGCAUUUGUAUGAGGACCUAGAUCUGUUGAGGAUGCAGAUCUUCACUCGUUGAAGGCCAUCCCUAUCUAUCUACUACUACUCUUUGGAAAAUAAUUGACUACAGAUGAUUGUACAAAAAAAUAAUUAAUAUUAUCUGAACAGCUCACCAUGCAUGUUCAGUAAAGUAAAGCGGAUUUGUUUAUUCAUUGUCUAGUUCAAACUUGGGGAGCAUUUUCUCAUUCUUGCGGUGAUCAGAAUAAUGUGAUUUAAGUCCAGUUAAACAUGCUUAAUUAUGCAUUUAAGCAUCUUUUAUUUAUUUGCUUUCAUUAUUUUUUCCUUCUUAAUGUGUUGUUAUUGUUUGGAACAACAAGUAAGACAAAUCUAGCCAGUUAGCAUUCACCGCAUCACCGCAUAAUGAAAGAUUAUUCAUAUUUGGAAAUGAAUAAUUAAUUAAAAAACUGUAUUAUUAAGGCAAAUGGGCACUUAAUAUUUGUAUCUUAAACCUUCCGAGUCGGAUAUUCGAGUAAAUUAGUUAAAAAGCUAUGCAAAAUGUGAAUGUGACAGACUACGUAGUAAAGUUUGGGUUAAGAGAGAGAGAGAGAGAGAGAGAGAGUAUUUCGCAGCCGGCUGGUCCCUAUGUACGGGAAGAAUCAUAGAAAGUUAGGUAACUACACACAUUUUUCAAAGAUGUCGAUCAUGAAAAAUAUUUGAUAACAAAUUCAGGGAGGACAUACUGCUUAAAUUAUUAACCUAGAAAUAAAGUUCGAUCUCUUGCUUUAACUUUUCUGCUACGUAGCUCUUAUUGCAUUAAACAAAGCCUUAUUAAAGUAAAGAUGGUCACACCCUUAGCCCUUUAGGUGAUACGUUCAGGGAAAUGGUUAAUGUUUUUACAAGCUCUUGUUUAUUUUUAUUUUUUAAUAUUUUCAGAUAUUUUUACAAUCUUUUACUGCGCAGUAAUAGAGUGUAAAAAUCAUAUCUAUGUAUUUAUUUAUUAUUAACUAUGUUUACAAUGAACCUUCUAUUCCAUGAAACAAGAUAUAAAAAUAAAAAUAAAAAGGAGAAGGGCAUAAAUUAACAAAAUUCGGUCAAAGGCCGCAUUGGUCCAAACAUUAAUUGAUAAUCUAUGACAAAUAGUCUGGCCCCAUUAGCAUUAUUUUAACAGUAAUAUUGUUUUUUUACUAAGAUAAUUAAUAAUUGCCAAGUGAAAAUUUGGCAUGAGUACCAUUGUGAAGGGUAAAAACCAAAGCUAUAUAAAGGGUGAGGAGGCUUAGCUUCAGAGGCAGACAACCAAAAACCCAUUCUUAACGAAGGAUGGGAAAAAUGGUGCCUUCACAAGUGACCUCUCUUGUGGUCACUCUCCUAGUGGCAAUAGUCUCUCUCACAUUGCCUUCAGAAACUUCAGCUAACUACCCUUACACCUCUCCACCACCACCGGCCUCUCCUCCCUACCAUUACAAGUCACCACCGCCUCCUUCUCCUUCUCCUCCAGUGCACUACUCACCACCUAAGCAUCCCUACCACCCUAAGUCACCACCACCUCCUGUGUACGCACCACCUAAGCAUCCCUACCACCCUAAGUCACCACCACCUCCUGUGUACCCACCACCUAAGCAUCCCUACCACCCCAAGUCACCACCACCAUCACCAAAGCCUUACCACUACAAAUCCCCACCACCACCUCCUGCUCCAGUGCACUCACCACCCCCACCUAAGGAGCCAUACCACUACAAGUCCCCACCACCACCACCCAAGAAGCCCUACCACUACAAAUCUCCCCCACCACCUCCUCCUCCAGUUCACUCACCACCACCACCCAAGGAGCCUUACCACUACAAAUCUCCACCACCACCACCCAAGAAACCUUACUAUUACAAGUCUCCUCCACCACCACCAAAGAAGCCUUACCACUACAUGUCUCCUCCCCCACCGGUGUACUCACCACCUCCACCAGUGCACUCACACCCACCACCAAAAAAGCCUUACCAUUACAAAUCUCCUCCCCCGCCAGAAUAUUCACCAGCUCCACCAGUGCACUCAACCCCACCACCAAAGAAGCCCUACCAUUACAAAUCCCCACCACCACCACCACCACACAAGAAGCCUUAUUACCCUGUUCACUCACCACCUCCACCUAAGAAGCCUUACCACUACAAAUCCCCACCACCACCUUCUCCUACUCCUCCUAAAUACUCACCACCUAAGCACCCCUACCACUACAAGUCUCCACCACCACCACCAAAGAAGCCUUACCAUUACAAGUCCCCACCACCUCCUUCUCCUACUCCCCCUAAAUACUCACCACCUAAGCACCCCUACCACUACAAGUCACCACCACCACCACCCCAAGAAGCCUUACCACUACAAGUCUCCACCACCACCACCUCCUCCAGUUCCCACACCAUCUCCACCCAAGAAACCUUACCACUACAAGUCUCCCCCACCACCCCCUCCAGUCUACAAGUCUCCUCCACCACCAGUUUACUCACCACCACCACCACCUAAGAAACCUUACAAGCCACCAACUCCUCCAGCAGUUCACCCACCACACGGUUACAUCUAUUCCUCACCCCCACCUCCUCACCACUACUAGAUAUUGAAAGUUUAAUUGCAUCAAGCUGGUAAGCUUCUCCAUUCUAUGCUAUUAUUCAUUAAUUAGUUAGUACUACUGUUGUCAAUUUGGAAAUCACCAUACAACCAAAUGCACACUCUGACGAAAUAACAUAUAAAUUCUAAUUGAAUAGUCUUUAUUUCCAUUUUUGGCUAAUAAUCCUUAUUAGCAUAUGGAUAAUGUAUUUCCAACAUAUCGUUAUUAACUUAUUACUCAAUUAAUAUUUCUUUUUCUUUAAAUUCAGUAGCCGUGUGUAACAAAUAGACCAAUGGCAGAGACCCAACAAAUAACAAUAAUAUGUCUUUGCAGGUAAGGGAAGAAGAAAGGUCAGAAUAAAGAGGGGCUGUUGAAGUCGAACAGCGCGC